CGAGGAUUUUCAGUCCUCUGCUCUACCAGCUGAGCUAUCCCGAC
rnacentral:tRNA from 1 species